rnacentral:lncRNA from 1 species
UCCUGUUGGGCUCUGCUGUCCCUGAGAGCUGCCCCUUAUGGUCUCCCAACUCUAUCUAGUUGAGGCUUCCAUAUUUAAUUGAGGUUUUUAUUCUUUCUUUCACAUAACUAUCCUAUCCACUUAGGUAUCCUAAGAUUUCUUUUAAAUAAAAAUAUAUGAUGUAUCUGAAUUUCAAAUGCCAGAAGAUUCUGUUUAUACAUUUAAAAUACUAAUGGUGUAUAUUAAUGGUCUCCCAAAUAACACCUCCAUAGGUAGAUGUUAAAAUUAUCAUGAACAACUAACAGAUGGUUAAGAAAUUAAAACCACCUCAUUUUCUCAGAUAAAAGUCCACCUUAGCCACUCUUAAUUCACCAAAAAGAGAAAAAGGAAAAGAAAAUCUCUUGCAUCAAAGCAUCAGGAUAUUUGAGAGACUAAGAGGCAGAAAUACAAAUGACUUUGAUCAAUAGACUUUCCUCUGCAUAUCUAUUUUCUCCAGCAUGUGUGAUAUAAACUGGACACUCCAAUGCUUUCUUGAGUAAAAUAAUGCAAUUUUACUGAGAAAAUUACAAUAACUGAAUCAAAGAGAAAAGCAAAAGAAAGAAACAGAGAAAGGGUUGCUUUCAACCAAGAUUUGAAAAGCAGCCUGCUUUUUUUGUGAGGAAGCUCUUUUAGAUUUAAAUCUUUCAGAGCAGGAAAGAACUAUCAACAUUACCUGCUAGAGAUCUGGCUGAGAUAACCUAGAUAUUAAAUUACUGACGUAUGCCCUGAGUUAUUCCUUCUCAGUCUGUUCUAGAGGCAAAUUAUCCUGAUUUAAGGGAAAUUCCAACUUCCCUAGUAGUUGAAUAUGAUCCAAAACUUUCAGACCAUCAGACAUUUUCCUGCAAAGCCAUAAUCCUUGAAUUUAGGGUAUAUCCAAUUUAAUAUCUUGCUAUUAACUAUUCCUUUUUCUCAUUCAACAAAUAUUGAGUGGAUAUUAUGUCCCACAUUUUCAUUGCUUCAGCAUAAAUUUUAACCUGGAGCUUCCUGGAAAUCACAGCAAAAUCGAAAAAUAGAGCUGUAUAAAUUACAGGAAGAGGAAGAUAAAGCAUCAAGAAAUUAAAUAGAAGCUUAGAGCUUAACAAAGAAGUACUGUGCAUUUCAGUAAAAGGAGUUUUCUGAGUUCAUGAACUGAUGUUUGUUGUUUCUUAUUUUUCCAAGACCAAAUAUUGGAAUAACUAGAGCCUGGGUGUGUAAGCCUGUCUCCUGUAUAAGCCAAAUUUGUGUUGCUUGGGAGUUCUCAAAUCCUCUAUAUUUGUUUUCUCACCUUAAUUAACCUCACUGUUGCUUCCUACAUGUUGUGGGAUAAAGGAGCCUCUUCCCAGAGUCCCUCUGUGGAGUGUCUGUUUCUGUGCCUUCCCACUGUUGCACUCACCUUCUCAUUUCCACUUAAAUGAUUUUGCAUCUCGUCCUUGCGCUUGAUGUCCUUCACAGCAUUCCUCCUCAGGCUGAACACUGCACCUAUUCUCUUCUUGCCAAAGCAUGAACGACACAAGACUUUUCCAAGUCUGCCAUGUUUUACUAAAAUUAAGGAGGAGUAGUGGAGGAUUUUAGUCAAAUGCCAGUGUUCAUUUUAAUUUGUACAUUAGAUACUGGUCACCUAAAAUUUCACAUUGUAUAAUGUACAAGGGGGGGGGCGGGAUUUCUCUUUGGUUACAGUCCACUCCUCUUCUCCCCUCCUUAGCCAAAGUAUGGCCCUCUCCUCUGCCUAUUCCCCUUUAGAAUCAUUGCUCUUCCCUUAUAGCUGCCUUUGACAUCCUAUUAACUAUUUAUUGUUUUAUUUCAUGGAGCAGUUGUCCAUUAAGAUGUCGUUUUGAGAGCUGUCCUUCAAUAAAGAUCCAUCUCUACUAAGUUUCCAACUAAAAUGUAGAAAUUGAGAGAGUGCUUGUUAACCCAAUGAAAUUUUUAGGCAACUGGUAGGAUUGCAGUAGAAAUAUUUACCUUCUAUCUGUUCGUAACAACUCUUCAGAAGUUGUGAAACUGAGUGAUGAUUUUGUAGUUGAAGUUUUCUAUGUGUUUUCCUCCAAUUACAUUAGCACACAAUUAAAUAGAUUUUUACAAAUCUGUUAUGAAUUUUUAACCCUUUAUGGUAAGAUAAUGAACCUGAACAUUAGACUUAUUUUUUUGUUUUAAUUCCUAUAUUUUAUUUCAAAAAAAAACCCAGUCUUUGAAUAUAUGUUUUCUAUUCAUAUUCAUGGCUUAAAUUAACAUGUUUACUGAGGGUGACAGAAAAAAUAAUCAAAUGUUUAUACAAUUCUAUUAAUUAGAUGGGGCAGAAAUCAUUUGAGAGAACACAGUGUGCUUGAUUACUGUAGAAGUAUAUUAAUUUUAUAAGAAACAAAUCUGUUAGAAUUCCAAGAAUCCAUGCUACCACUCCUCUAAAAUUAAGGGAUUCAACAAAUAUUUAAUUAGUGUCUACUAGGCCAAGGUACUAUUCUAUGAACUGGGAUACAAUAAUGCACAGGAAAACAACAACAAAAAUAAUAGUGCUUGCCCUCUAACUGGAGCAAAAUACAAAUUUAACAUCACAUGUAGGGUACAUCUGGUGUUAAUAGAAAAUCUGGAGGAAAAAUACAGUGGUGUGUGGGAGGUAGGAAAUGAUGGAGGUUGGGAAAAUCAGAGUGAUAAAAAUGCCAUUUUUUUUUUUUUUUAAAGCAGUUGGGCAAGGCUUUUUGUAUAAAGUGACAUUUAAACAUAGACCCAAAGGAAUUUUGGGAGCUGAUUUUGUGUGAUAUAUGAGAAGAUGACUUCAGAAAAGGAAAGAAUAUGAAUGAAGGCCCUGGGUCAGGAACAUGUUUAGAGUGUCUGAGGAAAGUCAUUCAGCUUCGAGUAGAGUGAGUAAGAGAGGAGCAACAGGAGGUGAGGUACAAUGUAGUCGGGAUGGUGUCAGACUUUGUAGAAUCUUGUAGUGAUUUUAGGACUUUAGAUUUUACUCUGAAAUAAGAAAUUAUUAAAGCAAUUAUAUGAGUAGUGGCAGUAUCUAAGGAGCAAGAUGAUUUAUCUUUUAAAAAUAUUACUCAGAGGCAUAGAUGAGGCUUAUAACAGGGUUUGAAGCCAAGAAAAAGUUUAGUAGACCAAUGGAACAAUCCUGAAGAGAGGAAACAUUAGCCUGCAGCAAGGCAGAUGAUAGUGAAGGUGGUGGGAAGUCUUCAGUGUUGGGAUACAUUUUGAAAAUUCAUCCAUUAGCAUUUGCUUUUAGAUUGUUAGUUUAUGGGUUAUGAGGGAAAUAGAAAUGUCACAGUUAACUCCCAGUAUUUUUUGUUUAUUCUGAGCAAGUAGAAUAAUGAAAUUAUGAUAUAUUCAGAUGAGUGAGACUAAAGUGGAAUGUUUGAGAGGAGGAAUUGGGAUUUGGUUUGGAAUAUGGUAAGGCUAAGAUGCAUAAUAAAUAUCUAUGGACCUGUGAAGAGGGGAGGUUAGAAUUCCAAGUAAGGUGCAGGAUAGGUGUAUACAUUUGUGAAACAACACAUCAUAGUAUAGAUUAUGAGUAAAUCCAUGGGAUUAGACGGGAUCACUUAGGGAAGGAAUAUAAAAAAGAAGUUCAAAAAUGCAGUUGUGGGUCCUCCAGUAUUUAGAACUCAGAGGUGUGAAGGAAACCACAAAGAAAUAUGUGAAGAUAUCAGCCUUGUAAAAUAGAAGAAAACACAAAGAUACUUAAAAUGAUGUACACACACACAAACACACACACACACACAGAGGAAGAAGCUAGACAUCUUCUCACAAGCAAGAUCUCAAGAGUAGAAUACCUGUGGUGAUCAUGAUGGCCAAUAUUCCAUCUAGCUAUAGAGUAGUGAUGCUAGUCUGGGAUUAUGAUCUAGUCAAUGAUCACUUUCAAAUUCCCCAGCCUCUCCAAACCCCAACCAACUCAAUUCAUAUUUAUAUACUCAGAGUCAUAUUGUACCCACACUGGAAGAGCAAAAAGGCAUCCAGGCUGCCCAUAUUGCUGUUAAAACUGAAGCAGAGAUUAUAUAGGUUAUAUUGUUUAACUUAAAAGAAGUGACUAAACAUGAUGAAAGGCAGAGUAGGAAAGCCCAGUAAGAAGCACCCAGUAAUUAACUGGUGCCUGGGGUGAUGUUACUCAGAGAAUAAAGUCAUCUUUACAAGGCUGGUGUUUGUGGUGCUUAUCUACGCCAUGAGAAGGCCAAAGGCAACUGGUAAAGUACAAAGUAAAAGUAAGGUGUCAGGCCUAGAGCUUAGGGUUCUAAGUGAAGGUUCAUCUGAUAAAACUUGAGGAUAGUAAGAGAGUGGAUUGGGUUGGAAGGAUCCUUUCACCAGGGUAGAUUGAUAAUGAGCUAUCUAUCAAGAUUCUUUGUUGGAACAACCUUGAGCAACUCAAUCAUGUUGUUUUGGUGCUCAUUCUCCCUCCAGGCUCCAUAACUGGAGCUGCCUUUUCUCAUUCUCUCUUAUUCUCUCUUGGCUAGUUCCCUUUAUUUCUUUGCAAAUUGUCUAGGAGUCAGGUUGGUUAAGGCAAUGGUCAGAUGGUUCAGGCAUGGUCAGAUCUUUCUCCAGUUUUCCUACCUUUGAAUAGCUUGCAGGUAUUGAGUAAGACUCCUGUUCUGAUACCACUUAGGAUAUUAUCUAGUAUAUGAACAGUGGAAAGCCAUGAAAUUACAGAGACCAAAAAAAGAUACUUAAAAUGCAAGUGUCCAUGGUCCCAGUGUUCCUUCCAGCUCACCUCUGCCAUGCUUAGCACUGAUUGCAAGAAAAAAUAAUUCAUUUAGUUGAACUUUAUCAUCACUACUAGUAAACAUCAAGGAAAUGUUCUUAGUCUUGAGUACUGAGAAUAAUAUAUUCAUAUGGGCAGUGCAUCUGGUAUUGGUGAUGUUUUAAGAAUUGGUAGAUGGAGUUCCCAUUGUGGCUCAGUGGUUAAUGAAUCUGACUAGUACCAUAAGGAUGUGGGUUUGAUCCCUGGCCUUGCUCAGUGGGUUAAGGAUCUGGCAUUUCCAUGAGCUGUGGUGUAGAUCACAGAUGUUGUGUGGAUCCCAUGUGGCUGUGGCAUAGGCCAGCAGCU